AGAUUGAACGCUGGCGGCAGGCCUAACACAUGCAAGUCGAGCGGCAGCACGGGUACUUGUACCUGGUGGCGAGCGGCGGACGGGUGAGUAAUGCCUAGGAAUCUGCCUGGUAGUGGGGGAUAACGCUCGGAAACGGACGCUAAUACCGCAUACGUCCUACGGGAGAAAGCAGGGGACCUUCGGGCCUUGCGCUAUCAGAUGAGCCUAGGUCGGAUUAGCUAGUUGGUGAGGUAAUGGCUCACCAAGGCGACGAUCCGUAACUGGUCUGAGAGGAUGAUCAGUCACACUGGAACUGAGACACGGUCCAGACUCCGUACGGGGAGCAGC
rnacentral:rRNA from 1 species